rnacentral:rRNA from 1 species
CAGUCGCCGCGGGAAUACGAAGGGUGCAAGCGUUAAUCGGAAUUACUGGGCGUAAAGCGUGCGUAGGCGGUGAGUUAAGUCUGCUGUGAAAUCCCCGGGCUCAACCUGGGAAUGGCAGUGGAUACUGGCUCGCUAGAGUGUGUCAGAGGAUGGUGGAAUUCCCGGUGUAGCGGUGAAAUGCGUAGAGAUCGGGAGGAACACCAGUGGCGAAGGCGGCCAUCUGGGACAACACUGACGCUGAGGCACGAAAGCGUGGGGAGCAAACAGGAUUAGAUACCCCCGUAGUCCCUGUCUCUUAUAC